GCAACCCUAGCUCAGUUGGGAGAGCGUUAGACUGAAGAUCUAGAGGUUCCGAGAUCGAAACUCGGGGGUUGCA
rfam:Trachipleistophora hominis chromosome Tnknown scaffold00244, whole genome shotgun sequence.